UGGACUACCGUGGCAGUGACGGGUAACGGGGAAUUAGGGUUCGAUUCCGGAGAGGGAGCCUGAGAAACGGCUACCACAUCUAAGGAAGGCAGCAGGCGCGCAAAUUACCCAAUCCUGACUCAGGGAGGUAGUGACAAGAAAUAACAACACUGGAAAUUUGAUUUCUAGUGAUUGGAAUGAUGGGAAUCCAAACCCCUUUCAGAGUAACAAUUGGAGGGCAAGUCUGGUGCCAGCAGCCGCGGUAAUUCCAGCUCCAAUAGCGUAUAUUAAAGUUGUUGCAGUUAAAAAGCUCGUAGUUGGAUGUCUGUUGGAAGCAAUCAUCAGUCCGCCCUAUUUGAUUAGGGUGUGAAUAUGAUGAAUUCCGGCAUAAUUGUCUCCCUAUUGUUAAUAUUCUGAUUGUUAGAUUCAUUUCUAACAAUAAUACGAUUAUUAAUAAUAAGGGGGAAAUGUUACUUUGAGAAAAUUAGAGUGUUUGAAGCAGGCUUUUGUUGCCUUGAAUACUGCAGCAUGGAAUAACAAUAUAGGAUUUCGGUUCUAUUUUGUUGGUUCUUUUUUUAGGACUGAAAUAAUGAUUAAUAGGGACAGUUGGGGGCAUUCGUAUUUAACUGUCAGAGGUGAAAUUCUUAGAUUUGUUAAAGACGAACUACUGCGAAAGCAUUUGCCAAAGAUGUUUUCAUUAAUCAAGAACGAAAGUUAGGGGCUCGAAGACGAUCAGAUACCGUCGUAGUCUUAACCAUAAACUAUGCCGACUAGAGAUAGGAAAUUGUCAUUUUACUUGACUUCUCCUGCACU
rnacentral:rRNA from 1 species